rnacentral:lncRNA from 1 species
UUCAGGCCGUGUACCAGUACAGGGUUGAUGGCUGUACCAGUACGGGCUGAUGGUUGUACCGGUACGGGCUGAUGGUUGUAUCGGUACGCGGGCCCGUAUACCGGUACACAGGCAGUUUUGAGCAAACCCGAGGCUCGGGUUUGGCCUUUUCGUGGGAGGUGUACCGGUACGCGGGUCCGUGUACCGGUACGCAGUGCAGAAUGCAGUCUGCUCGGGUUUGGAGGGUGUUUUUGCUAUUGUAG